rnacentral:rRNA from 1 species
AGGAUGAACGCUAGCUGGAGGCUUAAUACAUGCAAGUCGAGCGGGAUCCACCCAGUAAUGGGUGGUGAGAGCGGCGCACGGGUGAGUAACGCGUACACGACCUACCUCUAACAGGGGGAUAGCCCUGGGAAACUGGGAUUAAUACCGCAUAUAAUUCUUAUUUUAAAAGAUGGAAUGAAAGUU